AGCGAACGCUGGCGGCAGGCUUAACACAUGCAAGUCGAGCGCCCCGCAAGGGGAGCGGCAGACGGGUGAGUAACACGUGGGAACGUGCCUUUUGGUUCGGAACAACCCAGGGAAACUUGGGCUAAUACCGGAUAAGCCCUUACGGGGAAAGAUUUAUCGCCAAAAGAUCGGCCCGCGUCUGAUUAGCUAGUUGGUGGGGUAAUGGCCCACCAAGGCUACGAUCAGUAGCUGGUCUGAGAGGAUGAUCAGCCACAUUGGGACCGAGACACGGCCCAAACUCCUACGGGAGGCAGCAGUGGGGAAUAUUGGACAAUGGGGGCAACCCUGAUCCAGCCAUGCCGCGUGAGUGAUGAAGGCCUUAGGGUUGUAAAGCUCUUUUAGCGGGGAAGAUAAUGACAGUACCCGCAGAAAAAGCCCCGGCUAACUUCGUGCCAGCAGCCGCGGUAAUAC
rnacentral:rRNA from 1 species